rnacentral:lncRNA from 1 species
UUAGGCAAUUACCAAACGAAUCGAAGCAGUGCAAACAAGGAGAAGCAAGACGCGCCAUUCCCGAUCAUUCUCCAUUUCUCCACCUUUCCUAGCUCGAUUUGCGAAGUUGGUCGCCGACUACAGACUGGAAGCCUUGGACGGACCUCCUGUGGCCACUGGCUCUGACUUUGUGAACUAGGGUGAGCACCUUUUUCCUUCUAUCGUUCUCGUUUUUGUUUUAAUUUUUUGCUUUUUUUAAUUUUCCUUCUAUGACAAAGAAAUGAGAAUUGUGAAUUUGUGAUUUAUGAUAAAGAAUUUAUGUUGUAUGAGUUUUGAGUUAUGAUUUAUCAUUUAUCAUUUAAAAGUUUUGAUUUUGAUUUGGGAAUUUAGGUUUAGGAAAUUAGGGAUAUGUGAAAAAAAUUAAUGGAGAAGAUGAUGGGCUCAAUUGAACCAUGUGUAUUAAGCUAUAUUUUUAUAUGUAUAAAAUUUUCGUGUUAGUGCAUUUACAUAUUUGUUGAAAAAAAUUUAAUAUUAUUUAAUGAAAUAUUAAUAACGACAUCGUGAUUGUCACCAGUCAAAAAGGUCCAACGGUCAACUACCCUAACUGACCUCCGAUCUUGGAUUCGCCACUGGUUAAUAUCUAGGUGGUUAAUAUUCAAUAAAUGAGGGAAAUGAUGGACCACUAUGAUAUUCAAAAUAUUAACAGCACUACCUGGCUAGAAGAAAGACCAACAUGGGCACAACUAACAUAUAAAUUAAUAGAGUACUUCAAAUUUAAAAUAGUUUAAUAAAUAAGUGUUGUUAUUCUGAAACUGUAAUGUUAUUGGAAUGAUUAAUACCAAAUCUUCUUGACAAAAAAUGGAAGUAUCAACAAACACACAAUAUAAAGAGGUAUAGGAAGAAAUAUACCUAAAUACUGACAAUUAUAGAACAAACGAAAGCAUAAGUCUCACUUAAAACCGAGUUUACUGAUUGUAUAAUUCAACUAUCUUGAAUUUCCGUUUUCCUUUCAUAGCAAGAAAGUUUGAAAACAUCAGAUGAUCAUUGUUUUGAUGUAGUCAAUAAGAGCAUUCAAAUUGCUAUACGAUGAUCCACCUUCACUAACAGCCUUUCUUGCAAGCUUUGCCAUAUUUUCUGACCUUUCCAAGAACUCAUCCUUCCUUUCUUCCAUAAGCUCUCUGACUGCUUUCUCAAUAAUUUCUCUAUCACAAGUAUCUUUUAUGUCUAACCCAAUCUUCCAAACCUCACUCACAAACCUACUGUUAGUUGUUUGAUCACCAAAAUAUGGCCAACAAAUCAUUGGCACACCAACUACAAUACUCUCCAGAGUCGAGUUCCAUCCACUGUGAGUCAAAAACCCACCCACUGCCUCGUGGUUCAGAACUUCUUCCUGAGGAGCCCAUCCUACCAUGUAACCCCUGGCCUUCGUACCCUCCUCUAAUUCUAUUGGAGUUUGAUUCUUCCCAUCUUCCCCUACAAUUGAAUCUGGUCUCAUGACCCACAAGAACCUCUGUCCACUAUUCACCAAUCCAUGCCAGAACUCCAAUAGCUGCUCUCUUGUCACAACUGUAAUGCUUCCAAAACUAACGUAGAUUACUGAAUUUGACGGCUGUGCAUUAAGCCAAUCCAGACAACUCCGGUCUUCAGCCCAGAAGCUUCCUGAAAGAACUGAAUUAUCGACCUUCUUCUCAGCCAGUCUCGACUUCAGGUGGGAAUGAUUUGGUCCAAUGGUGAAGACUUUUG